CCUCAAAUUACAUACUUCUUAACAUUCCAUAGCCACGUGAUUCAAUAUGGGCAUAUAAAGAAGUAUGUGCUCUAGAG